rfam:Canis lupus familiaris chromosome 26, whole genome shotgun sequence.
GGGGGGAGGCCGGAUCCUGGGCUGUGUCCCGGCGCCCUGUGCUCCGGCGCCUGCGCUGUUGGAUUCGCGCUCCCGGGCCGCUCAACCCCCU